rnacentral:tRNA from 1 species
GCCGCGAUAGUUCAGUUGGUCGAGCGUCUGCCGGGUGCGGAAAGCCGCCGGUUCGACCUCGGCUCUCGGCA